AGGAAGCGGGAGCGUGCGUGGGAUGGCGGGAGCGUGCGGGCUGCUGAGCCGAGGCCCACGGGGGUGGGGGCUGAGCUAUAAAGAAGGCCCAGGCAAACUUGUGAAUUGCUUCUUCCACCGAGUACUUGGUCUGCCCAGAAACACAUGCCUCAAUGUCCUCGGAGUUCAGAUGGCUCUGCAGAAAGAGGUGUAGGCUGCUGUCAGAGAGCAAAAGUGCAUUCUGCAGAACUCUGUACAAAAAAAAAAAAAAAAGAGGAAAGAAAAUAAUGGAUGAGCAGGCAUGAGCAGAGAUCGGGUAGCAGACAGGAAACCCUUGCAAUGGUACCACUGAUCUCUCCGCUCCUCUGAGAACUUUGCCCCGACGCUGGGCCCUGCCCACCAAUGGGGUGAAAACAUAUGCUAACUUUUACUCAAUUAUUUGGAAUCUUAGGUGAGUAAAAACACGAAGCUAAUGGUUAAGGACAUCUGUUAAAAGAAUAACUUCAAGGACAUUUCUUCGAUUUAACCAUCUGUUAAGACCAUGUGGAUUAAUUAUGGAAAUGUUUUGCUUAUAUGGUUAUAGAAAUUUA